rnacentral:rRNA from 1 species
GAUGAACGCUGGCGGCGUGCUUAACACAUGCAAGUCGAACGGGAUCGGCUGGAGCUUGCUCCGGCCGUGAGAGUGGCGAACGGGUGAGUAAUGCGUGACCGACCUGCCCCAUACACCGGAAUAGCUCCUGGAAACGGGUGGUAAUGCCGGAUGCUCCAGUUGGAUGCAUGUCCUUCUGGGAAAGAUUCAUCGGUAUGGGAUGGGGUCGCGUCCUAUCAGCUUGAUGGCGGGGUAACGGCCCACCAUGGCUUCGACGGGUAGCCGGCCUGAGAGGGCGACCGGCCACAUUGGGACUGAGAUACGGCCCAGACUCCUACGGGAGGCAGCAGUGGGGAAUAUUGCACAAUGGGCGCAAGCCUGAUGCAGCGACGCCGCGUGCGGGAUGACGGCCUUCGGGUUGUAAACCGCUUUUGACUGGGAGCAAGCCCUUCGGGGUGAGUGUACCUUUCGAAUAAGCA